rnacentral:rRNA from 1 species
CCUGGGGAGUACGGCCGCAAGGUUAAAACUCAAAUGAAUUGACGGGGGCCCGCACAAGCGGUGGAGCAUGUGGUUUAAUUCGAUGCAACGCGAAGAACCUUACCUGGUCUUGACAUCCACAGAACUUUCCAGAGAUGGAUUGGUGCCUUCGGGAACUGUGAGACAGGUGCUGCAUGGCUGUCGUCAGCUCGUGUUGUGAAAUGUUGGGUUAAGUCCCGCAACGAGCGCAACCCUUAUCCUUUGUUGCCAGCGGUCAGGCCGGGAACUCAAAGGAGACUGCCAGUGAUAAACUGGAGGAAGGUGGGGAUGACGUCAAGUCAUCAUGGCCCUUACGACCAGGGCUACACACGUGCUACAAUGGCAUAUACAAAGAGAAGCGACCU